rnacentral:rRNA from 1 species
AUGAAGCGGCCGGCGGCACGGGGCCGCAGCCCGAUGGGGUACCAACCUCGGCCGGCCAAAAUCACGAAGUUGUACGCGGCUACGGCGGGCGAUUUGCAGACGUCGCUGACCUUGGCGUCCUCCUCCAGCCACAGAGCUCCUCAUGCACCUCCUCCUCUGUCGUUGCCGUCCUUGGCGUCCUCCUCCGGCCACAGAGCUCCUCAUCCACCUCCUCCUCCACCACCGCCGGCCAGGGAGGAAGAUGUGUCCACGCCGACGGCAACCACAUCCAACGUGUUCGAUGAUAUGUCACCAAGUCUAUAUGAUGACACUUUCAUGCGCGGGACAAAUGUGACAAAUGAUGAUUAUUCACAUGAUUAUGCAUCACAAGAAUGUGAAACUCCACAAGAUGGUGAUGACAAUCUCGACAUGAAUGAUGAGGGCUUCGUUACGGAGGGAAGAACCGCAAACUAUACCAGGACCGAAGAUGUGUUGGUUCGCAUCGCAUGGAAGAAAGUCUCUCAAGAUGCAACCGUUGGGACGGACCAAUCCACCAACACUUAUUGGCAACGCAUCAAGGAGUACUUCGAUGCACGCAACACUAAAAAUGAUUGCGCUAGGAUAUUUCAAGAUAGGAAUAACAAAGGAGAGAAGAGGAAGACGAAAGGAAGAGCUUUCACUUUUCAUCAUUGCUACAAAGAGCUCAAGGAUGAGGAGAAGUGGAAACCUAGAGAAUUUUUUGAUGCUUCGAAGAAGAAAAGUGUUUUGGUGGAGGAUGAAGAAGAUGUCCUCGGUGUUGAGAGAAGGAGCCCAACCCCUCUCUCGGCAACUAAAUCAUAUAGGCUUGGUGGAACUAAGAAAGUGAAGGUAACCAGGGCCGGAGACAAUGAUAAGGAAGGAUUUGAUGACAUCGUCAUGGCAAGGAAAGAGUAUGCAUAG